ACGGUACCUAUAGAAGAAGCACCGGCCAACUACGUGCCAGCAGCCGCGGUAAUACGUAGGGUGCGAGCGUUGUCCGGAAUUACUGGGCGUAAAGAGCUCGUAGGUGGUUUGUCACGUUGUCCGUGAAAACUCACAGCUUAACUGUGGGCGUGCGGGCGAUACGGGCAGACUGGAGUACUGCAGGGGAGACUGGAAUUCCUGGUGUAGCGGUGGAAUGCGCAGAUAUCAGGAGGAACACCGGUGGCGAAGGCGGGUCUCUGGGCAGUAACUGACGCUGAGGAGCGAAAGCGUGGGGAGCGAACAGGAUUAGAUACCCUGGUAGUCCACGCCGUAAACGGUGGGUACUAGGUGUGGGUUUCCUUCCUUGGGAUCCGUGCCGUAGCUAACGCAUUAAGUACCCCGCCUGGGGAGUACGGCCGCAAGGCUAAAACUCAAAGAAAUUGACGGGGGCCCGCACAAGCGGCGGAGCAUGUGGAUUAAUUCGAUGCAACGCGAAGAACCUUACCUGGGUUUGACAUGCACAGGACGCUGGUAGAGAUAUCAGUUCCCUUGUG
rnacentral:rRNA from 1 species